GAUGAACGCUGGCGGCGUGCCUAAUACAUGCAAGUCGAGCGAACAGACGAGGAGCUUGCUCCUCUGACGUUAGCGGCGGACGGGUGAGUAACACGUGGAUAACCUACCUAUAAGACUGGGAUAACUUCGGGAAACCGGAGCUAAUACCGGAUAAUAUAUUGAACCGCAUGGUUCAAUAGUGAAAGACGGUUUUGCUGUCACUUAUAGAUGGAUCCGCGCCGCAUUAGCUAGUUGGUAAGGUAACGGCUUACCAAGGCGACGAUGCGUAGCCGACCUGAGAGGGGGAUCGGCCAAGCGGGAACUGAGACCCGGCCCAGACCCCUACGGGAGGCAGCAGUGGGGAAUCUUCCGCAAUGGGGGAAAGCAUGACGGAGCAACGCCGGGGGAGUGAUGAAGGGUUUCGGAUCGUAAAACUCUGUUAUUAGGGAAAAAAAAAUGUGUAAGUAACGAUGCACGUCUUGACGGUACCUAAUCAAAAAGCCCCGGCUAACUACGU
rnacentral:rRNA from 1 species